rnacentral:rRNA from 1 species
CCUACGGGAGGCAGCAGUAGGGAAUAUUGGGCAAUGGAUGCAAGUCUGACCCAGCCAUCCCGCGUGCCGGAAGAAGGCCCUCAGGGUUGUAAACGGCUUUUGACGGUGAAGAACCGACAGGAUGCGUCCUGUUUUGACGGUAGCCGUUGAAUAAGCACCGGCUAACUCCGUGCCAGCAGCCGCGGUAAUACGGAGGGUGCGAGCGUUGUCCGGAUUUAUUGGGUUUAAAGGGUGCGUAGGCUGGAAGGUCAGUCAGCGGUGAAAAGCUGUCGCUUAACGAUAGUCUUGCCGCAGAUACUUCCUUUCUUGGAUGAGGAGGAGGCCACUGGAACGGAUGGUGUAGCGGUGAAAUGCAUAGAUAUCAUCCAGAACACCGAUUGCGAAGGCAGGUGGCUGUACCUUAAUCGACGCUGAUGCACGAAAGCAUGGGGAGCAAACAGGAUUAGAUACCCUGGUAGUCCAUGCCGUAAACGAUGAGGACUAGCUGUUGGGCUCUUAGAGUUCAGUGGCACAGGGAAACCGUUAAGUCCUCCACCUGGGGAGUACGCCGGCAACGGUGAAACUCAAAUGAAUUGACGG